CAUCCGAUAAUCUUUUUGAGAGUUAGUUACUGUAACCUCGAUCCUGUCACUCGUCUAUUAAUAGUUUGGUGCAUUUUUUAACAGUCUAUUAUGUGUUGGUAAGAGAUCUACUUGGGUUACUGAUUGGGUUAAGAGAAGCAUGCGUGAAUACCAACUAAUUGUCAUUUCAACGUAAAAUAUCCCUAACUCAGUUGAUUAUCUGUAAGGACAAUAUUUCGACAACAAAGUUUUAACGAACCUUGUGGAAAAUCAAAUAAAUUUCGAAACUUUUCUCAGAUCAUACGGCCGGUAAUUAAAGCGGGAAUCGUACGCAUAACUGUGCCCGUUUAUUUAUGAUCCACUCUUCGGCAUUAGGACAUACAAUAUGCUAAUUUCGAAUUGCUGAACAUAAAUAUGCUCUGAAAACGUAUCCACGGAAUCCUAAAUUAUACAAUAAAAUAUCCGUAAGCCCCAAAACACGCGAAGUAAAAUUUUGAAUCGUUUGGUCACGAAUAACUUUGCGGUAUACACCGAUAUAGAUUUGUCUACGGUCAUCCAAUGAUAAUAUGCAGAAAUAAUAUUGCGAAUAUAUUCCUCGCCGGUAUUAUUGCGGAAUAUUGUACACGCGUUGAGAAUUGGCGAAAAUUGUGGGGUAGGGGCUU